AGAAUUCCUCUGGGGUCGGCAGGCUCCGGAGUUGCGCAAGGUGGACACACAAAACCAAAAGCCAAAGUUGGAAAA
rnacentral:lncRNA from 1 species